rnacentral:ncRNA from 1 species
UGACCUCAGAUCAGGCAAGGCUACCCGCUGAAUUUAAGCAUAUUAAUAAGCGGAGGAAAAGAAACUAACAAGGAUUCCCCUAGUAAUGGCGAAUGAAGCGGGAACAGCUCAAAUUUAAAAUCUCCGUUGCUUGCAACGGCGAAUUGUAGUUUCGAGAAGCACUUUCUCGGCGGAUCCGAGGUCGUCCAAGUUGCUUGGAACAGCACGUCGUAGAGGGUGAAAACNCCCGUCUGCGGCGACCUCGGCCGUUCACGAUGUGCUUUCGACGAGUCGGGUUGUUGGGAAUGCAGCCCAAAAUGGGUGGUAAACUCCAUCUAAAGCUG